GCCGGGCCUUCCCCGCGCUCCCCGGCGCCCCCAGCCCGCUGACCCCCGGCCAGGCAGGCCCGCGGGGGAGGCAGGACCGGAGCCCUGAGGCCCUGGCCGGCCUCGGGGUUGAGGCUCAGCUCGGGAUAAGUGAUCUUUGGGGCCCGCAGAGGACGUCUCCCCAAGACCCAGUGGCAACCGGGUGGCACGUACCUGCCUCUUCUUGGAGUAUGGACGAGUCGAACCGGGCACAAGCAUGGAGCUGCGGGUGAGUCCCGGCUGGCGCUGGCGCGGCGCAGUGAGCACCAGCUGACGAAGAGGGCUCCCCGGCCUCGGCUCCUGCCUGACUCUCUCCCACCUCCGCCGGGGGCCCAGAAGGGACCUCCCCGGGAAAUCGGCGCCACCCAGCGGGCAGCCGCCUCAUCGCGCCUGGGCCGGCAGAGCCACACCCCGCGUCUCGCGUCACUGAGUCGCGUCACGGCUAUUGGCUUGUUCCUACUGUGGCGUCAUUAGAGCCCGGCCUCCGGCUGGGGCCACCCAGGCAACCGAUAUACACAGAGAACCACGUGGAGGAAAAGCACGCGAGUUUGGAGCGGGUGGAGCAGGAACAGAGGUGGACUGGAAUGUCACACGACGGGGCAGCUGGAAGGGCACCACUGAGUUCAGUACUUCAAAAUUGCCGUGCUCUACCUCUCCCCAGUGCACAAAAACACUCUCCACACCAAGCUGCUGCUGCUGGGGGAUGGAGGGAUGGCGUCAGCGAUUCAAGACUGUUUUUCCUACCUGUUCAGCACUUCUUUCAGCGAUAUGAAGUUAAAUCCAGAGCAGCAAGAGGGAUCUUAUAAAAAUAUGACCAGAUCACAUCCUUCAACACUUCCCUGUUACCCUUACAAUAAAAUUCAAACUCUUCACCAUGACCUCCAAGGCUCCUAUUGAAUCCGGCUCUUGUCUGCCUCUUCAGUAACAUCAUGGACCACUCCUUACCAUUCCCUCCAUCUGGCUGUGCUUCCUGCAGCUCUUCCAAUGGCUGGCUUGUUCUCACCUUUGAAGUCUCAGCUCAAAGGACACUCCCUUGGGCUCUCCCUCAUCACCCUAACUAAUAGGUCACUUAAUAUUGUUAUUAUUUUUUAGAGACAAAGUCUCACUAUGUCACCCAGGCUUGCCUCAAACUCCUGGGCUCAAGCAAUUCUCCCACCUUGGCCUCUCAAAGUUCUAGGAUUACAGGCGUGAGCCACUAUGCCUGGCUAUGUCACUUAUUAUUCUUUAUUAUCUUCUAUAUAUAAAUGAUCCCAAUCUAUAAUUAUUUGAUUUAUUGAUUGGUUUACUUGCUUAAUAUCCAACUCCCAUACUAGAAUAUAAAUGUUAUAGAACAAGAGAUUGUCUGUACCAUCCACUGUUCUAGUCUCAUUACCCCACAUAAGGCCUGGCAUGGAGUGUGCACCUAAUAAAUGUUUGAAUAAA
rnacentral:lncRNA from 1 species